rnacentral:lncRNA from 1 species
AAUUUCCUUUGAUAACAUUAUUGAAAGGCAGCCUGGAUUCAAUAAAGAGCUAGCCUUGGAAUUGGAAGAUCUGGUUUCAAGUCUUGCUUUUGACUUACCAGUUGUAUCAAAAGUCAUUUAAUCUCUCUAUAAUAGACUAAUAGACUAUUAGAUUAAUAGAUUAAUAGACUAUUAGAGUCUAAUAGACUCUAAGUUGCAGAGAAUGUGCUGAUUGACCUUGGUAGGGGGAGUUUCUAACAAUGAAAACCCAGGUACAAUUCUUAUCAUUCUUCUUAUCUUAGUAUCAGGUGGUGUGUUUUGGAACAACUACCCUGAAGACUCCAAAUUGGAUGCGUUAAGCCAGUUGCAUCUCUGUUUGGAUAAAUAUGAAAACAUUACGAUCAGGAUUAUCCCUUUUUACAUUCGGUGGGUCUAUGCUUUCAGCUUGGUGAGUGACAACUAAACUGAGAGUGAAAUGAAUUUUGUCUGAAAUAAGAAGAAGAAUAAUGGCUAGCACUUAUUUAACACCUACUAUGUGCCAGGCACUAGGCUAAGCACUCUACAAGUAAGGUCUCAUUUGAUCUUCACAACAACCCUCAGAGGUAAGUGCCAUUAUAAUACCCAUUUUGUAGAUCAUGUAACUGAGACAAACAGAAGGCUAGUAGAUAAUUUCUUAUGGUUUUUCUUUCUUUCUUUCUUUCUUUCUUUCUUUCUUUCUUUCUUUCUUUCUUUCUUUCUUUCUUUCUUUCUUUCUUUCUUUCUUUCUUUCUUUCUUUCUUUCUUUCUUUCUUUCUUUCUUUCUUUCUUUCUUUCUUUCUUUCUUUCUUUCUUUCUUUCUUUCUUUCUUCCUUUCUUUCUUCCUUUCUUUCUUCCUUUCUUUCUUUCUUUCUUUCUUUCUUUCUUUCUUUCUUUCUUUCUUUCUUUCUUUCUUUCUUUCUUUCUUUCUUUCUUUCUUUCUUUCUUUCUUUCUUUCUUUCUUUCUUUCUUUCUUUCUUUCUUUCUUUCUUUCUUUCUUUCUUUCUUUCUUUCUUUCUUUUCUUUCUUUUCUUUCUUUUCUUUCUUUCUUUCUUUCUUUCUUUCUUUCCUUCUUUCUUUCUUUCUUUCUUCCUCCUCCUCCUCCUCCUCCUCCUCCUCCUCCUCCUCACUCCUUUAUGUCUUGGAAUCCACACUAAAGAUAGGUUCCAAGGCAGAUGA